GAAAAGUUUACCAUCCAUCGAUACGGCUCUCAGUCGCCACUGCGCCAACUGUUCUCCUCCAUUCGCCGUCAUCAUCGUGGACAAGUCUUCGCAAGCGACUGGAAUCCCCCACCAAGCACAUUUUUCGUCAGUCGUAGGAUUUUUACUGGAAGCCACCGAAUUUCUGUGUCAACUUUUAGAGUAAGCAUUGUUUUGCAGGCAUAGAAUGGCUGUGGAGGCUCAUACUUACCACUACCAGAUAGCAUUACUCAGGUGAUCAGGGGACUACCGGGGUCAGAUGUGGCCAGAGUAUACUGGGAAGUCCAGAGGAACCUGCGUCUGUAGCGCCACCCAAACUAUCAGGGGGCUACUACCGAGGUCAGAUGUGGUCAGAGUUACCGAGGAGUCCAAAGUAACCUGGGUCUGUGGUGUGUAUCUAUGCUUAGCCUUGAGGUAGCUCUGCGUGCACGUAUGACCUUGUGAUUUGGUUUACACCACGGAGGACAUUCUUUGUCCAGAGUAAUCCACCGUCGUAAACAAGUAUUUUGGUACAGAGUUGAUGUGGUUUUCUGAUAACGAUUGAAUGCUUUAUAAUGUGCUUAUGAGAGUUGAUCAUGCCACUGUUUUACUAGCACGUAUUUGAGAUGUUGUUGAAUCUUUUAUACUUUAUUCAAUGAUUUACUGAAUGAUUUGAUAAACUUUAUUG